rnacentral:rRNA from 1 species
GACGGAGGAGGCUAGCGUUGUUCGGAAUUACUGGGCGUAAAGCGUACGCAGGUGGCGGACCAAGUCGGAUGUGAAAGCCCGGGGCUCAACCCCGGAUGUGCAUCCGAUACUGUUCUGCUGGAGUCCGGAAGAGGAGAGCGGAAUUCCCAGUGUAGAGGUGAAAUUCGUAGAUAUUGGGAAGAACACCGGUGGCGAAGGCGGCUCUCUGGUCCGGUACUGACACUCAAGUACGAAAGCGUGGGGAGCAAACAGG